rnacentral:snRNA from 1 species
GCACUAUGCUUUGGCAGUACAUAUACUAUUGGAAUGACACAGAGAUUAGCAUGGCCCCUGCUCAAGGAUGACACACAAAUUCAUGAAGCCUUCCAUAAUUUU